AUUGAACGCUGGCGGCGUGCUUAACACAUGCAAGUCGAUCGGUAACGCGGGGGCAACCCUGGCGACGAGAGGCGGACGGGUGAGGAACGCUUGGGAAUCUGCCUAUCAGCGGGGGACAACACGGGGAAACUCGUGCUAAUACCGCAUACGCUCUACGGAGGAAAGCCGGGGACCGCAAGGCCUGGCACUGAUAGAUGAGCCCAAGCCGGAUUAGCUAGUUGGCGGGGUAACGGCCCACCAAGGCGACGAUCCGUAGCUGGUCUGAGAGGACGAUCAGCCACACUGGAACUGAGACACGGGCCAGACUCCUACGGGAGGCAGCAGUGGGGAAUAUUGGACAAUGGGGGAAAGGCUGAAGGAGCGACGCCGCGUGAAUGAUGAAGCCCCUCGGGGUGUAAAGUUCUUUUCUUAGGGACGAAUCCGCCAAUUGGCGGAUGACGGUACCUAAGGAAUAAGAGGUUGCUAACUCUGUGCCAGCCGCCGCCGUAAUAC
rnacentral:rRNA from 1 species